GACGAACGCUGGCGGCGUGCUUAACACAUGCAAGUCGAACGGAAAGGCCCUGCUUUUGUGGGGUGCUCGAGUGGCGAACGGGUGAGUAACACGUGAGUAACCUGCCCUUGACUUUGGGAUAACUUCAGGAAACUGGGGCUAAUACCGGAUAGGAGCUCCUGCUGCAUGGUGGGGGUUGGAAAGUUUCGGCGGUUGGGGAUGGACUCGCGGCUUAUCAGCUUGUUGGUGGGGUAGUGGCUUACCAAGGCUUUGACGGGUAGCCGGCCUGAGAGGGUGACCGGCCAAAUGGGGAUUGGGAUACGGCCCAGACCCCUACGGGGGGAAGGAGUGGGGAAUAUUGCACAAGGGGGGGAAGCCUGAUGCAGCAACGCCGCGGGCGGGAGGACGGCCUUCGGGUUGUAAACCGCUUUCGCCUGUGACGAAGCGUGAGUGGCGGUAAUGGGAAAAGAAGCACCGGCUAACUACGU
rnacentral:rRNA from 1 species